rnacentral:ncRNA from 1 species
AGAUUGGCGAUGAAAAGGAUUAGUAUAUAUAGAAGAAGUUACAGAGAGGAAAUUUAUGGUGGAAUAUUUCUACGGGCGCUAUAUAGAACCUGCCUUCGAGCUUUGUAUGAAAAUACAACGUAUCUCUGCGUUAAAGGGAAGAAAGUGAAUUAUGAUAAACAGGUAUAUGUUGUCAUAAUUAAUUAGGGUGGUACCGCCGAGUUUUUCGGUCCCUUUA